rnacentral:rRNA from 1 species
CCUACGGGUGGCAGCAGUGAGGAAUAUUGGUCAAUGGCCGGAAGGCUGAACCAGCCAAGCCGCGUGAAGGACGAAGGUGCCAAGCAUUGUAAACUUCUUUUGUCAAGGGACAAAAUCAGGCUCGAGAGCAUGACCGAGGGUACUUGAAGAAAAAGCAUCGGCUAACACCGUGCAAGCAGCCGCGGUAAUACGGAUGAUGCGAGCGUUAUCCGGAUUUAUUGGGUUAAAAGGGUGGGUAGGCGGAGUGUUAAGUCAGCGGUAAAAGCCCGGGGCUAAACCCCGGCGAGCCGUUGAAACUGGCUGUCUUGAGAUGUCGAGAGGUAUGCGGAAUGCGCAGUGUAGCGGUGAAAUGCUUAGAUAUUGCGCAGAACUCCGAUUGCGAAGGCAGCUUACCAAUCUAUAUCUGACGUUGAGGCACGAAAGCGUGGGGAGCAAACAGGAUUAGAUACCCUGGUAGUC